rnacentral:rRNA from 1 species
UACGAAGGGGGGCUAGCGUUGCUCGGAAUCACUGGGCGUAAAGGGUGCGUAGGCGGGUCUUUAAGUCAGGGGUGAAAUCCUGGAGCUCAACUCCAGAACUGCCUUUGAUACUGAAGAUCUUGAGUUCGGGAGAGGUGAGUGGAACUGCGAGUGUAGAGGUGAAAUUCGUAGAUAUUCGCAAGAACACCAGUGGCGAAGGCGGCUCACUGGCCCGGUACUGACGCUGAGGCACGAAAGCGUGGGGAGCAAACAGGG